rnacentral:rRNA from 1 species
GAUCAUGGCUCAGGAUAAACGCUGGCGGCGCACAUAAGACAUGCAAGUCGAACGGAAGUCGUUGUAAUGAUAUAGACAUGGACUGAGAACUUGUUCAAAGAAAGUGAAAGUUGACUUACAACAAUGGCUUUAGUGGCGGACUGGUGAGUAACACGUAAGCAACCUGCCUAUCAGAGGGGAACAACAGUUAGAAAUGACUGCUAAUACCGCAUAAGCGCACAGGAUCG